rnacentral:rRNA from 1 species
UACGUAGGGGGCGAGCGUUGUCCGGAUUUAUUGGGCGUAAAGAGCUCGUAGGCGGCUUGUCGCGUCAACUGUGAAAACCCGUGGCUCAACCAUGUGGUCUGCAGUCGAUACGGGCAGGCUAGAAUUCGGUAGGGGAGACUGGAAUUCCUGGUGUAGCGGUGAAAUGCGCAGAUAUCAGGAAGAACACCGGUGGCGAAGGCGGGUCUCUGGGCCGAUAUUGACGCUGAGGAGCGAAAGCGUGGGGAGCGAACAGG